GAUGAACGCUGGCGGCGUGCCUAAUACAUGCAAGUCGAGCGAACAGACGAGGAGCUUGCUCCUCUGACGUUAGCGGCGGACGGGUGAGUAACACGUGGAUAACCUACCUAUAAGACUGGGAUAACUUCGGGAAACCGGAGCUAAUACCGUAUAAUAUAUUGAACCGCAUGGUUCAAUAGUGAAAGACGGUUUUGCUGUCACUUAUAGAUGGAUCCGCGCCGCAUUAGCUAGUUGGUAAGGUAACGGCUUACCAAGGCAACGAUGCGUAGCCGACCUGAGAGGGUGAUCGGCCACACUGGAACUGAGACACGGUCCAGACUCCUACGGGAGGCAGCAGUAGGGAAUCUUACGCAAUGGGCGAAAGCCUGACGGAGCAACGCCGCGUGAGUGAUGAAGGUCUUCGGAUCGUAAAACUCUGUUAUUAGGGAAGAACAAAUGUGUAAGUAACUAUGCACGUCUUGACGGUACCUAAUCAGAAAGCCACGGCUAACUACGUG
rnacentral:rRNA from 1 species